rnacentral:rRNA from 1 species
AGAGUUUGAUCAUGGCUCAGAACGAACGCUGGCGGCGUGCCUAACACAUGCAAGUCGAGGGAGAAAGCCCGCAAGGGUUAGUAAACCGGCGAACGGGUGCGUAACACGUGGAUAAUCUACCUCGGUGACCGGGACAACUGGCCGAAAGGCUUGCUAAUACCGGAUAAGCCCACGCGCUCUUCGGAACGUGAGGGAAAAGGCGGCCUCUGCAUGCAAGCUGUCACAUCGAGAUGAGUCCGCGGCCCAUCAGCUAGUUGGCGGGGUAAGAGCCCACCAAGGCGACGACGGGUAGCUGGUCUGAGAGGAUGAUCAGCCACACUGGAACUGAGACACGGUCCAGACUCCUACGGGAGGCAGCAGUGGGGAAUCUUGCGCAAUGGGCGAAAGCCUGACGCAGCAACGCCGCGUGUGUGAUGAAGGUCUUCGGAUCGUAAAGCACUGUCGCGAGGGACGAUAUGCAAGGGGCUAACAUCCCCUUGUUAGGACGGUACCUCGAGAGGAAGCACCGGCUAACUCUGUGCCAGCAGCCGCGGUAAUACAGAGGGUGCGAGCGUUGUUCGGAAUCAUUGGGCGUAAAGCGCUUGUAGGCGGCCUGUCAAGUCGCGUGUGAAAUCCCUUGGCUUAACCAAGGAAGUGCGCGCGAAACUGGCGGGCUUGAGUGCCGGAGAGGGUCGCGGAAUUCCCGGUGUAGAGGUGAAAUUCGUAGAUAUCGGGAGGAACACCAGUGGCGAAGGCGGCGACCUGGACGGACACUGACGCUGAGACGCGAAAGCGUGGGGAGCAAACAGGAUUAGAUACCCUAGUAGUCC